GAUGAAGAACGCAGCGAAAUGCGAUACGUAAUGUGAAUUGCAGAAUUCAGUGAAUCAUCGAGUCUUUGAACGCACAUUGCGCCCUCUGGUAUUCCGGAGGGCAUGCCUGUCCGAGCGUCAUUGCUGCCCUCAAGCACGGCUUGUGUGUUGGGCCCCGCCCCCCGAUCCCGGGGGGCGGGCCCGAAAGGCAGCGGCGGCACCGCGUCCGGUCCUCGAGCGUAUGGGGCUUUGUCACCCGCUCUGUAGGCCCGGCCGGCGCUUGCCGAUCAACCAAACUUUUUUCCAGGUUGACCUCGGAUCAGGUAGGGAUACCCGCUGAACUUAAGCAUAUCAAUAAGCGGGGA
rnacentral:misc_RNA from 1 species